GUGAUGCUUCUACAAAAUGUUCUCCCAGACUCCAGCAAUUUGUGGUUCAGGGACCACUGAAAUAAAUAAAUUCAACAAAUCUCAAAGGAUUUCUCACCAAUGAUCUUGCUAUGCCUGCCCCAAGCCUUCUGGCACUUUUAGCUUCCCUGAACAAAGGAACUCAUCCGGUCACUUGAGCCUGUGGUAAGGGAUCUGGUGGUAUACCUCUUCAAAGUCCAGGUAGAUGAGAUUGAGCAGGAUGAAAUGCUGCUCCCGUCAAAAUGAACAGCAAAAUUCCUACUGAUUUGCAAGCAAAAUAUAAGG